GGGCUUGUAGCUCAGUGGUAGAGCGCUUGCCUUGAGUCUAGCACGUGUGAGAUACUGGGUUCGAUCCUCAGCAGCACA
rnacentral:tRNA from 1 species